UAGAGGCGUCCACUACAGCGCCUGGCUAAUUUUUGUAUUUUUUAGUAGAGACAGGGUUUCAUCAUUUUGGCCAGGCUGGUCUGGAACUCCUGACCUCAUGAUCCACUUGCCUCAGUCUCCCAAAAUGCUGGGAUUACAGGCAUGAGCCACUGAGCCCAGCCGACAUACAUUUUCUCUAGAUCACUGCAGCCUAGCUUAAAUAUGCUUCUCUAGGUCAUCUCUCUAUUUCCACCUAUAUCUGUGCAUCAACAUCUCAGGCUAUUAUGUUCUCAAAUCUGUUUUCAAUAUGAAAAUACAGACAUGAGAAAGAGCCAAUGCUGUUCUCAGGAUCUUACAAUUCAUUCUGCAUCUACACAGUCCUGGAGUUCCAAACACAGAUUGCCAUAACAAGAGAAAUUAGCCAGAGCACUAACUGUUUUCAAAAUAACAAUUCAUUUCACUAAAAUCAGUGAAUGGCUCUUUUCAAAGCGUAAUUAUACUUUCUAGGGGAAGACAUUAGGUCUACUGAAAGUAAGUCACCUAAUUUACAGAUACCAAUGAUGAAAAUCUUCUCAAGGCAUUGGGGGAAUAAAAGACAUUAAUUCUCAGUUUGUAAAUGAACAUGAAAUGUGAUGUGCCCACUACCAUGUGGGUGUUUCUCUGCAGAUCUGCUAGUAAGCAGGCAUAAUGUGCCAGUAAGAAGGCAACCUGGAAAACAUAGCCAGGAACUGGGACAACUGGGAAGCUGAUAGAAAGAGUUGUUUAAUGUGUAAGCUGUCGUCUGCACACACAGAAGCAUUUCCAUGGCUAUGAACAAAGGGUAACUGCGGGGUGGUUUAUUAAUUGAAAAUAAAUGUCCUUUUCUUUGUGAAAUGGCUAGAUAUUGAAAAACCAAACACAUGCUAAGAGGACGUGCACAGUCAGCAGAGAAACAUCAGCUUGGAAAAAUCUGCCAACAAGGAGAAAGUUUAGAAUGGAUUGGUUUCCUGUCUCUGCACAACAAAUAAACCACCAAGGGAUUCCCAAGGAUCUAAAUAAUGAACCAAUCUCUCUCUCUCCUUUUCCCUUUCCAUCUCCCUCUCCCUCACUCCCUUCUCUUACGUGCAUCGGAGAAUGGUGAGCAAGUACCUAGGGAACUACAGUAUUUUGGGUCCUCCUUCUGACAAGGCAACUAACACCUGAAAAAAAAAAAUGAAUCCCAUACAUUUCAUACUAAAGAACUGGGGGCUUACUACGAGACAAAAGAAAAAUUAGAUCUCUAGUUCGGAAGGCAAUUUUUUCCACAUCGUUAAAUAAAUAUGGUCAGCAUUCAACAAUUGUGCUGAUGAAGUGAGUAUGUGGAUAUAUUACAGAAUCAAUUUUCUUACCUAUUUUAUUUCUAGGCUCAGCAUCAGGUUGUUAAUUUUGACCCAGCCAUCCCAUUACUGGGUAUAUACCCA
rnacentral:pre_miRNA from 1 species